AGUAGCUCAGCUGGAUAGAGCGACAGACUUCUAAUCUGUAGGUCGUGGGUUCGACUCCCUCCUG
rnacentral:tRNA from 1 species